rnacentral:rRNA from 1 species
UGGCGAACGGGUGAGUAACACGUGGGUGAUCUGCCCUGCACUCUGGGAUAAGCCUGGGAAACUGGGUCUAAUACCGGAUAGGACCAUGCUUUAGUGUGUGUGGUGGAAAGUUUUUUCGGUGUAGGAUGAGCCCGCGGCCUAUCAGCUUGUUGGUGGGGUAAUGGCCUACCAAGGCGGCGACGGGUAGCCGGACUGAGAGGUUGGCCGGCCACAUUGGGACUGAGAUACGGCCCAG